CCCAAAAGAGAACGCAGUCAUAUCUGCAUGCAUGGAUCUUGAUGUAGGAAAGCCCAAGAUCUUUCAAGAUACAUCGGACCUUAUGAUGAGUGGUAGGAAGACGAUGACCGUGAGGCAGCAUCGAAGCAGUGUACUGUAGAUAAUCAUUAACAGCUUUCACAGUCGAUUUAGUCUCAACUUUAAUCUUCAUUACGUCCAUCACACUUUCAAGAACGGUCUUCUGACAACCGGGGUACACAGGGGUCUGUUGGAAAGCAAGCAGUUUGUUGUACUUGUCAAUACCAGCAGUGUUGACAGCUCUAGGGAAGAGCUGCACCGGGUCAGGCAUAUACUGUCCUUGAGCGCAUACACCGCUCUCAUAAGGAAACAUGUCGUUGAUGAAGACCGUUGUUGGAUCGUUGGAUGUACUGCCCAUCUCAGAAAAUUGGCCAUGAUCAUGCGGACCCCCAGAUGAUGUUUCACCGUGAUAUAACCAACAUGUGUACUUCUCCCAAAACCCGUUACUCUUCAGGUGCUGCCAUACUUUGUCAAUCGCAAAUCGAUGCAUAUCGUUGCGACACUGACAUUUCGUGCACGGGCAAUAGAAAAUUGUAUUCCCGUUAGCAUUAGCCAGCGCAUAUUCCAGAAAACUCAUAAUUCCUUUACCAUAUCUUUUGUCCCAUUUUGGAAGCGAAAUCCAACUCUUAUCUAUAUCCUGAAAAUAUAACAAAAUAUAUAUGUAUAACACUAGCUAAUUAUUAAUUAAAUUCUAUGCCAUAUAUAAAAUUUUAAUUCAUUUAUAUAUAUUCUACGUACUACAACUAAUUAAUUGAUAACAAAUUAAUUAACACACAUAUAUAUAUAGAUAUACUUAAUUAAUAAUUACAUAACAAUAUUAUAUAUAUCAACAUCAUCACAAAAUCAUCAUCAACAACUUCAUACCAUCAACACAAUAUUAUAAAUUAAUUAACAUAUAUAUAUAUAUAUAU
rnacentral:lncRNA from 1 species